UCCUGCUUAAAGCUAAUCUGAGCAGGGUAAGCCGGCCCCUAAGUCGAGGCAGAAAUGCGUAGACGAUGGGAACUAGGUUAAUAUUCCUAGGCCAGGAGGAUGUGACGGAUCUCGAAGAUUGUUCGACCUUAUCGGAUUGGUCGGGCCGUUUAGAGGUUCCUGGAAAUAGCCCUCCAUCAGACCGUACCCUAAACCAACACAGGUGGACUGGUAGAGAAUACCAAGGCGCUUGAGAGAACGAUGUUGAAGGAACUCGGCAAAAUACCUCCGUAAGUUCGCGAGAAGGAGGCCCGGGUUCAAGGCAACUUGGAUCCGGGGGCACAAACCAGGGGGUGGCGACUGUUUACUAAAAACACAGGGCUCUGCGAAGUCGCAAGACGACGUAUAGGGUCUGACGCCUGCCCGGUGCCUGAAGGUUAAAAGGAGGGGUGAGAGCUCCGAAUUGAAGCCCAGGUAAACGGCGGCCGUAACUAUAACGGUCCUAAGGUAGCGAAAUUCCUUGUCGGGUAAGUUCCGACCUGCACGAAUGGCGUAACGACUUCCCCGCUGUCUCCAACAUCGACUCAGCGAAAUUGAAUUGCCUGUCAAGAUGCAGGCUUCCCGCGGUUAGACGGAAAGACCCCGUGCACCUUUACUACAGCUUCACACUGGCAUUAGGCCGAACAUGUGCAGGAUAGGUGGUAGGCUUCGAAGCAGGGACGCCAGUCUCUGUGGAGCCUCCCUUGAGAUACCACCCUUGUUCUGCUUGAUGUCUAACCGCGGUCCGUUAUCCGGAUCCGGGACCCUGUGUGGCGGGUAGUUUGACUGGGGCGGUCGCCUCCUAAAGCGUAACGGAGGCGCGCGAAGGUUGGCUCAGAGCGGUCGGAAAUCGCUCGUUGAGUGCAAUGGCAGAAGCCAGCCUGACUGCGAGACUGACAAGUCGAGCAGAGACGAAAGUCGGCCAUAGUGAUCCGGUGGUCCCGAGUGGAAGGGCCAUCGCUCAACGGAUAAAAGGUACGCCGGGGAUAACAGGCUGAUGGUGCCCAAGAGUCCAUAUCGACGGCACCGUUUGGCACCUCGAUGUCGGCUCAUCUCAUCCUGGGGCUGGAGCAGGUCCCAAGGGUACGGCUGUUCGCCGUUUAAAGAGGUACGUGAGCUGGGUUUAGAACGUCGUGAGACAGUUCGGUCCCUAUCUGCCGUGGGUGUAGGAUACUUGAGAGGAGUUGCCCCUAGUACGAGAGGACCGGGGUGAACGAUCCACUGGUGGACCUGUUAUCGCGCCAGCGGUAGUGCAGGGUAGCUAUGAUCGGAAAGGAUAACCGCUGAAGGCAUCUAAGCGGGAAGCCCCCCUCAAAACAAGGUAUCCCCGAGGGCCGUGGUAGACCACCACGUCGAUAGGCCGGAGAUGUAAGCGCAGCAAUGCGUUCAGUUGACCGGUACUAAUUGCCCGAUAGGCUUGAUUUG
rnacentral:rRNA from 1 species